UACAGAGGUCCCAAGCGUUGUUCGGAUUCACUGGGCGUAAAGGGUGCGUAGGCGGUCGGGUAAGUCUGAUGUGAAAUCUCACAGCUUAACUGUGAAACUGCAUUGGAUACUAUUCGGCUUGAGAGUUGGAGGGGGACUGGAAUUCUUGGUGUAGCAGUGAAAUGCGUAGAUAUCAAGAGGAACACCAGUGGCGAAGGCGAGU
rnacentral:rRNA from 1 species